UGGGGAAUAUUGCACAAUGGACGAAAGUCUGAUGCAGCAAUGCCGCGUGUGUGAAGAAGGCCUUAGGGUUGUAAAGCACUUUCAGUAGGGAGGAAAAGUUCAAGAUUAAUACUCUUGGGCCCUGACGUUACCUACAGAAGAAGCACCGGCUAACUCCGUGCCAGCAGCCGCGGUAAUACGGAGGGUGCAAGCGUUAAUCGGAAUUACUGGGCGUAAAGCGCGCGUAGGCGGUUAAGUAAGUCAGAUGUGAAAGCCCCGGGCUCAACCUGGGAACUGCAUUUGAUACUGCUUAACUAGAGUGUGGUGGAGGAGAGUGGAAUUUCAGGUGUAGCGGUGAAAUGCGUAGAGAUCUGAAGGAACAUCAGUGGCGAAGGCGACUCUCUGGACCAACACUGACGCUGAGGUGCGAAAGCGUGGGUAGCAAACAGGAUUAGAUACCCUGGUAGUCCACGCCGUAAACGAUGUCAACUAACUGUUGGGCGGGUCUCCGCUUAGUGGUGCAGCUAACGCAAUAAGUUGACCGCCUGGGGAGUACGGCCGCAAGGCUA
rnacentral:rRNA from 1 species